CCUACGGGAGGCAGCAGUGGGGAAUUUUGGACAAUGGGCGAAAGCCUGAUCCAGCAAUGCCGCGUGAGUGAAGAAGGCCUUCGGGUUGUAAAGCUCUUUUGUCAGGGAAGAAACGGUGAAAGCUAAUAUCUUUUGCUAAUGACGGUACCUGAAGAAUAAGCACCGGCUAACUACGUGCCAGCAGCCGCGGUAAUACGUAGGGUGCAAGCGUUAAUCGGAAUUACUGGGCGUAAAGCGUGCGCAGGCGGUUUUGUAAGUCUGAUGUGAAAUCCCCGGGCUCAACCUGGGAAUUGCAUUGGAGACUGCAAGGCUAGAAUCUGGCAGAGGGGGGUAGAAUUCCACGUGUAGCAGUGAAAUGCGUAGAUAUGUGGAGGAACACCGAUGGCGAAGGCAGCCCCCUGGGUCAAGAUUGACGCUCAUGCACGAAAGCGUGGGGAGCAAACAGGAUUAGAUACCCUGGUAGUCCACGCCCUAAACGAUGUCUACUAGUUGUCGGGUCUUAAAUUGACUUGGUAACGCAGCGACGACGUGAGUAGACCGCCGUCGGGAGGUAACGGUCGUCGAGAAGUUAAACGUUAACGUUAAAGUAGAAGUUAGACGGCGUUGAGACGNGCGACGGACGACGACGAGGGAGGAGG
rnacentral:rRNA from 1 species